UAAUCCAUCAAACACAGUUUUGGCUUCAUGGAGUCAUACAGGUUCAAUGAUCAACCGAAAGCGUUCCAAUCGCAAGGUUUUGUAAUAUAUAUAUAAUGUCUAUGGAGCAGGCUAGAAAUGUAACAAUUACAAUUCAAAAAUACCGAAAAUUUUUUAGUUUAUUUUCGUUGUCAGUCGUCCCCUGGCGAUCUGAAGUGAACCGUUUAAAAUCGGUUUUAUAGGCCAGAAAACGACGACGAUGAUGACGACGACUCAUUCCAGCCGAUCACCGGCGAAGAUAUCAACAUCCGCACAUCCCUCGCAGGUUUUUUCUCGGAGCACACUUGCCGGAGUUCCUGAAUCACUGGGCACAACGAAGGAACGAAGAAUAAGGGGAGGUGGCUACCUACCUGGGCAUUGUUACUCUGCGAUUCUCUCUACCUGUGUCAAUGUCAGACAUCAGACUUCAGACUACAGACUUCAGCGCUAAAUUGUCGCUUAUUAAAUGUCUCUCGUCCCGCCGACGAGCCACUUUA